rnacentral:tRNA from 1 species
UGGCUUAGAUGGUAAAGCGUCUGGCUACAAUGCAGGAGACCGGGGUUCGAUCCCUG